CAGCAGCCACGGUAAAACGUAGGGUGCAAGCGUUAAUCGGAAUUACUGGGCGUAAAGCGUGCGCAGGCGGUUAUAUAAGUCAGAUGUGAAAUCCCCGGGCUCAACCUGGGAACUGCAUUUGAGACUGUAUGGCUAGAGUGUGUCAGAGGGGGGUAGAAUUCCACGUGUAGCAGUGAAAUGCGUAGAUAUGUGGAGGAAUACCGAUGGCGAAGGCAGCCCCCUGGGAUAACACUGACGCUCAUGCACGAAAGCGUGGGGAGCAAACAGGAUUAGAUACCCGCGUAGUCCCUGUCUCUUAUAC
rnacentral:rRNA from 1 species